rnacentral:lncRNA from 1 species
AGGCCAGACCUGUGCCCUCAUUGCUCUCAAAAAUAAGAAGAGAUGUCUGGAAAUUAAAGCAAGUGUCUGAGAUUAUACUGUUUUCUUGCAUCUUGACUCUUACAGCUAAGGACAAACGUGAUGCUGUUGCCUGUGUUUUCCUUAGAACCACAGAACGGCUUGAGUUGGAAGGGACCUCAGUCAUCAUCCAGUUCCACUCCUACACCAUGGGCAGGGUUGCCAACUUACUCAGGCAUCUUUAUGGGCACAGAGCAGCAUAUGCCUCUGCCCUUCACAAUGACUUUCUUCAAGCACUUGAAUUGAUCUUUUUUCCAGAUGAAGACAUAUACCAUUCUGAACCACAUUUGAGGGUGUUUCCAACUAAGCUUGCUGAGGGAUGAAGCUAUAAGGACUCAUUGCCAAGAAAUGCUAGUGGAUACACACCUUCACCCCUCUCGCAGAGAACUAUUGAUGGGCUCACGUGGCUGAGAUAUUUAUGAAGAAACUUCUUGUACAAGGUUAAAGCACACACACUGGGAAAGGAAAGCAGCUGCUUUCUAAGCUGUAGACCAAUGAGUUUAUGGAGACAUCGUGGCAGUUGAAUUUAUACAAGCUGAACAGCUUCAAAAGAAACGCUGAGUAG